AAUGGACGCAAGUCUGACGCAGCAACGCCGCGUGGAUGAUGAAGGUUUUCGGAUCGUAAAAUCCUGUCGGUGGGGAAGAAACGUACUGGUAGUAACUGACCAGUGCCUGACGGUACCCACAGAGGAAGUCCCGGCUAACUCCGUGCCAGCAGCCGCGGUAAUACGGGGGGGACAAGCGUUGUUCGGAUUUACUGGGCGUAAAGGGCGCGUAGGCGGAUCUUCAAGUCAGAUGUGAAAACUCCGGGCUUAACCCGGAGCCUGCAUUUGAUACUGUUGAUCUUGAGUACAGGAGAGGAGAGUGGAAUUCCAGGUGUAGCGGUGAAAUGCGUAGAUAUCUGGAAGAACACCAGUAGCGAAGGCGGCUCUCUGGACUGAUACUGACGCUCAAGCGCGAAGGCUUGGGGAGCAAA
rnacentral:rRNA from 1 species